GAUGAAGAACGUAGCGAAAUGCGAUAAGUAAUGUGAAUUGCAGAAUUCAGUGAAUCAUCGAAUCUUUGAACGCACAUUGCGCCCGCCAGUAUUCUGGCGGGCAUGCCUGUUCGAGCGUCAUUUCAACCAUCAAGCCCUGCUUGCGUUGGGGUCCUGCGGCUGCCCGCAGGCCCUGAAAACCAGUGGCGGGCUCGCUAGUCACACCGAGCGCAGUAAUACAUCUCGCUUUGGGCGUGCGGCGGGUUCUUGCCGUUAAACACCCCCUUUUUACCAAGGUUGACCUCGGAUCAGGUAGGAAUACCCGCUGAACUUAAGCAUAUCAAGCGGAGGA
rnacentral:misc_RNA from 1 species